rnacentral:rRNA from 1 species
AGUUCACAUCGACGGGGAGGUUUGGCACCUCGAUGUCGGCUCAUCGCAUCCUGGGGCUGUAGUCGGUCCCAAGGGUUGGGCUGUUCGCCCAUUAAAGCGGUACGCGAGCUGGGUUCAGAACGUCGUGAGACAGUUCGGUCCCUAUCCGUCGUGGGCGUAGGAAAUUUGAGAGGCGCUGUCCUUAGUACGAGAGGACCGGGAUGGACAUACCUCUGGUGUACCAGUUGUCGUGCCAACGGCAUAGCUGGGUAGCUAUGUAUGGACGGGAUAAGUGCUGAAAGCAUCUAAGCAUGAAGCCCCCCUCAAGAUGAGAUUUCCCAACUUCGGUUAUAAGAUCCCUCAAAGAUGAUGAGGUUAAUAGGUUCGAGGUGGAAGCGUAGCGAUACGUGGAGCUGACGAAUACUAAUCGAUCGAAGACUUAAUCAAUUU